rnacentral:rRNA from 1 species
UGGGGAAUAUUGGACAAUGGGGGCAACCCUGAUGCAGCGACGCCGCGUGAGUGAAGAAGUAUUUCGGUAUGUAAAGCUCUAUCAGCAGGGAAGAUAAUGACAGUACCUGACUAAGAAGCCCUGGCUAACUACGUGCCAGCAGCCGCGGUAAUACGUAGGGGGCAAGCGUUAUCCGGAUUUACUGGGUGUAAAGGGAGCGUAGACGGAAUGGCAAGUCUGAAGUGAAAUACCCGGGCUCAACCUGGGAACUGCUUUGGAAACUGUUGUUCUAGAGUGUUGGAGAGGUAAGUGGAAUUCCUGGUGUAGCGGUGAAAUGCGUAGAUAUCAGGAAGAACACCGGAGGCGAAGGCGGCUUACUGGACAAUAACUGACGUUGAGGCUCGAAAGCGUGGGGAUCAAACAGGAUUAGAUACCCUGGUAGUCCACGCUGUAAACGAUGAAUACUAGGUGUCGGGGUGCAAAGCAUCUCGGUGCCGUCGCUAACGCAAUAAGUAUUCCACCUGGGGAGUACGUUCGCAAGAAUG